AACGAACGCUGGCGGCAGGCCUAACACAUGCAAGUCGAACGCUCCAGCAAUGGAGAGUGGCAGACGGGUGAGCAACACGUGGGAACCUUCCCUUUGGUUCGGAAUAGCUCAGGGAAACUUGAGGUAAUACCGGAUAAGCCCUUACGGGGAAAGAUUUAUCGCCGAAGGAUGGGCCCGCGUCGGAUUAGCUAGUUGGUGGGGUAACGGCCUACCAAGGCGACGAUCCGUAGCUGGUCUGAGAGGAUGAUCAGCCACACUGGGACUGAGACACGGCCCAGACUCCUACGGGAGGCAGCAGUGGGGAAUAUUGGACAAUGGGCGCAAGCCUGAUCCAGCCAUGCCGCGUGAGUGACGAAGGUCUUCGGAUUGUAAAGCUCUUUUGGCGGGGACGAUAAUGACGGUACCCGCAGAAUAAGCCCCGGCUAACUUCGUGCCAGCCGCCGCAGUAAAAC
rnacentral:rRNA from 1 species